AAAACAUGAAGUUGGGUUGGUCUCGCUCCAAGUGUCAAGACAUAGACGGGACAGCAAAGGUAUCACCAACACCACCUCCGAGUGGUUUGACAUCAAAUCCGCUGCCAACAACUGAGCAACAAAGGAACCCGGGUGGACAUGCAGUUGCACCCGCUAUUGCUGGUAAAGCUACCCCUAAACCAUCUGCAGCAUCACUCCUUGCAAUUUCACGGCAUUACACUAUGAGUUCUCUUAUAUUCUUAUUGGUUGUAUGGUUG
rnacentral:misc_RNA from 1 species